CGUUACGGUUACUGUUAUUAUUGCAAAUUAGCGUUUUCCAUGAUCCUCAGACAUUACAAUAGCAGUAUUGCCUCGUUUGCAAUUCUAUGAUAUGGAAAUUCCAGUUGGUUUGUAUCCUGUUGUAGCUGAAGAUGCUGGACCCACUAAACUCUUGCGUCACCAUUAAUAAUUUCCAACCGAAAUGAGGAAAAAGAAGAGGGGAGCCACUAUGAAAACACACCAGAAACUUACAACUGUCUCGCAAACGCAUUCCUGUGAGGAAUGUAGAUUCUAAAUUUACAAAUUACAAGCAAUUACAAAUCGAAGGAUCAAUCUACAAAUUUGGGAUGAUUCAUUGGAUGCUGGACAUUUAUCAAGAAUAUGGAUAAAAUUAAAAUUAAACUAUCGAUACCUGGAUCCAUCUGACGUCUACCGAUAUCAGGCUCUAGGGUCAAAGUGUCAAAUAAUAUUAAGCUUACAAUUACUUUGGAUAAAAUCAGUCAGGCUAGAAAGUAAAUGAUGAACGAGUGACAGUUGAUAAAUUGGAUAAUAAUUAGAUAGAAAACAAUUUUUAGAAAUCCGGUAAAAAUUAUAUUCCAAUAUCAUAAAGUUGGUACUCAAAUAGAGUCAAUAUUCAUUAUGGUUUGAGUAACUGUCACAAAGUCACAAGAUGUUGUCAGACACGCAAGCAUAUCCUUCACGAGUGAGUGGGUGUACCAUUUCAGCCCCACUGAUUAUAUCCGACCUUUGACUUAUGGAUAUUAUAAUAAUACCACGAGGUCCCAUAGACAUAAUAAUAGAAUAUAGCCGUAGGACCUAAAUACACUGCGCUUUGUGGUUUAGUCCCAGUUGUUGGGGAUAAGCGAUAGUCUUGGCUGAUAACCGCAAUGGUCGGACGGACAGAUAAGGGUGGUACGAUACCGUGUUACCAUAAGGGUUUGUAAUAGCUGCAUCAAGGAUCAGGGAGGACGCUAGAAAAAGAAGUAGAAAAUGGAAAGGAGAGACGGAAUGGGAUGCUGUAUGAUCUUGGGAACAAUAUCCAAAA